rnacentral:rRNA from 1 species
GACGAACGCUGGCGGCGUGCUUAACACAUGCAAGUCGAACGGAAAGGCCCCCUUGUGGGGUACUCGAGUGGCGAACGGGUGAGUAACACGUGAGUAACCUACCCUUGACUUUGGGAUAACUUCAGGAAACUGGGGCUAAUACCGUAUAGGAGCUCCUGCUGCAUGGUGGGGGUUGGAAAGUUUCGGCGGUUGGGGAUGGACUCGCGGCUUAUCAGCUUGUUGGUGGGGUAGUGGCUCACCAAGGCUUUGACGGGUAGCCGGCCUGAGAGGGUGACCGGCCACAUUGGGACUGAGAGACGGCCCAGACUCCUACGGGAGGCAGCAGUGGGGAAUAUUGCACAAUGGGCGGAAGCCUGAUGCAGCAACGCCGCGUGCGGGAUGACGGCCUUCGGGUUGUAAACCGCUUUCGCCUGUGAUGAAGCGUGAGUGACGGUAAUGGGUAAAGAAGCACCGGCUAACUACGUG